GUCUCCUUUGUUAGAUAUUGGUGAUCCUUGAAGUCAUAUUUAGGUUCUUUAAUUUGAUGUUUAGGGCAUAUAUUGAGUAAAUCUUGUAAAGAAAAGAGUUGGAGAGGGAUUUUGGUAGCAAAAAGAGAGUUUAAGAUAUCCAUAUAGAUGAAUGGAGAUGGAUGGUGAAAAUCUCCAUUCCUAUUGGUCAAAAAUCAUGACCAAUGGGCUUUGAGGAGGUUGCCUGAGGCCAUAUUAGAAAUUAGGAUUAGUUUUUUGGAGGCUUUUGAGCUUUGGAGGCUAGAAUCAGCAAGUUUAGGUUUUUGGCUAUGGUUUUGAUGCAAAUUUUGAGUGAUUUGGAGUUUAUAUAAAAGAGAUAUGGAUGCUUUAAGUUUGGGUAUUGAUUUUGUAUCUACUGUCAUACUUUUGGAUAUAACACACGCAUACAAAAAACAACAAAGGAUCA
rnacentral:lncRNA from 1 species